GCUAUGGAAGGGGCUUCCGUAUCUCGAGUGGCGAACGGGUGAGUAACACGUGGGUGAUCUGCCCUGCACUUUGGGAUAAGCCUGGGAAACUGGGUCUAAUACCGAAUAUGAUCAUGCGCCUCCUGGUGUGUGGUGGAAAGCUUUUGCGGUGUGGGAUGGGCCCGCGGCCUAUCAGCUUGUUGGUGGGGUAAUGGCCUACCAAGGCGACGACGGGUAGCCGGCCUGAGAGGGUGACCGGCCACACUGGGACUGAGAUACGGCCCAGACUCCUACGGGAGGCAGCAGUGGGGAAUAUUGCACAAUGGGCGCAAGCCUGAUGCAGCGACGCCGCGUGAGGGAUGACGGCCUUCGGGUUGUAAACCUCUUUCAGCACAGACGAAGCGCGAGUGACGGUAUGUGCAGAAGAAGGACCGGCCAACUACGUGCCAGCAGCCGCGGUAAUACGUAGGGUCCGAGCGUUGUCCGGAAUUACUGGGCGUAAGGAGCUCGUAGGUGGUUUGUCUCGUUGUUCGUGAAAACUCACAGCUUAACUGUGGGCGUGCGUCCGAUACUGGCAGACUUGAGUACUGCAUGGGAGACUGGAAUUCCUGGUGUAUCGGUGGAAUGCGCAGAUAUCAGGAGGGAACACCCGGUGGCGAAAGCGGCUCUCUGGGCAGUGACUGACGCUGAGGAGUAAUACCGUUGCG
rnacentral:rRNA from 2 species